GCCAGGUGUGGUGGUGCAUGCCUGUAGUCCCAGCUACUUGGGAGGCUGAGAUAGGAGGAUCACUUGAGCCCAGGAGUUUGAGGCUGCAGUGAGCCAUGAUCAUGCCACUGCAUUCCAGCCUGGGUCACAGAGUAAGACUCUGUUUCAA
rnacentral:sRNA from 1 species